CCUACGGGAGGCUGCAGUGAGGAAUAUUGGUCAAUGGACGCAAGUCUGAACCAGCCAUGCCGCGUGCAGGAAGACGGCUCUAUGAGUUGUAAACUGCUUUUGUACGAGGGUAAACGCAGAUACGCGUAUCUGUCUGAAAGUAUCGUACGAAUAAGGAUCGGCUAACUCCGUGCCAGCAGCCGCGGUAAUACGGAGGAUUCAAGCGUUAUCCGGAUUUAUUGGGUUUAAAGGGUGCGUAGGCGGUCGGAUAAGUUAGUGGUGAAAUCCCGAGGCUCAACUUCGGAAUUGCCUCUGAUACUGUCCGGCUAGAGAGUAGUUGCGGUAGGCGGAAUGCAUGGUGUAGCGGUGAAAUGCUUAGAGAUCAUACAGAACACCGAUUGCGAAGGCAGCUUACCAAGCUACUACUGACGUUGAUGCACGAAAGCGUGGGGAGCAAACAGGAUUAGAUACCCGAGUAGUC
rnacentral:rRNA from 1 species